UUCUAAGGCCAUGCCACCCUGAACAUGCUCGAUCUCGUCUGAUCUCGGAAGCUAAGCAGGGUCGGCCCUGGUUAGUACUUGGAUGGGAGACCACCUAGGAAGACCUGGUGCUGUAGGCA
rnacentral:rRNA from 1 species